rnacentral:rRNA from 1 species
UACGUAGGCAGCGAGCGUUGCUCGGAGUUACUGGGCGUAAAGAGUGCGUAGGCGGUGUUCCAAGUCUGUUGUGAAAUCUCCCGGCUCAACUGGGAGGGUGCGGCGGAAACUGGGACGCUGGAGUACGGGAGAGGUAAGCGGAAUUCCUGGUGUAGCGGUGAAAUGCGUAGAUAUCAGGAGGAACACCUGCGGUGUAGACGGCUUACUGGACCGUAACUGACGCUGAGGCACGAAAGCGUGGGUAGCAAACAGG